rnacentral:rRNA from 1 species
UACGUAGGGCGCAAGCGUUAUCCGGAAUUAUUGGGCGUAAAGAGCUCGUAGGAGGUUUGUCGCGUCUGCCGUGAAAGUCCGGGGCUCAACUCCGGAUCUGCGGUGGGUACGGGCAGACUAGAGUGAUGUAGGGGAGACUGGAAUUCCUGGUGUAGCGGUGAAAUGCGCAGAUAUCAGGAGGAACACCGAUGGCGAAGGCAGGUCUCUGGGCCGAUACUGACGCUGAGGAGCGAAAGCGUGGGGAGCGAACAGG